AAAGUACUCCCUCUGUCCCAAAAUUCUUGUCUUAGAUUUGUCUAGAUACGGAUGUAUCAAGUCACAUUUUAGUAUUAGAUACAUCCGUAUCUAGACAAAUCUAAGACAAGAAAUUUGGGACAGAGGGAGUAGUCG
rnacentral:pre_miRNA from 1 species